UCCUACAAAGAAUGCAGCAACCAAGUAUCUUGGAAUCAGAGAGCAGCCCUGACCAGAUAACCAAACACGCCAGUGCCUUGACUUUGAACUUUGCAGCCUCCAGAACUCACAUACAAUAAAAUUUGCAAUGUACAGGGAAGAUUAACUGACCCGCUGCACGAAGAUGACACACAAAUUUAUGAAGAUGGUUCUUUUUAUUUUCCUUAAAUUUUAGGGAUGGCUUCUCAGUGUGUUGCCCAGGCUGGUCUUGAACUCCUGGCCUCAAGCAAUGCUCCCACCUUAGCCUCCAAAAAUGUUGAGAUGACAGGUGUGAGCCACCACACUCAAUUGCUUAAUGUAUUUUAAUCAUAAAAUGAAAUCAGUAAUUUUCACAUCUUUGUUAUUUAAUAUGUGAAAGAAAGGGAUUUCUGCAGAUAAGAGUAAUUUUUCAAAACAAUAAUAAAUAUGAAUUAAAUUAUAUCAAUCAUACAGCUGAAAAUAAGUAAAAUUAAAUGUCAGAUUAUCUAAAAUCAUCAAUAUAUUCAGUGAAUAUCAAUGAUUAUAAGUGUUUGUUGAUUUUAAAAUCUGAGUGUUAUGUGUAAAAUUUAAGAAAAUACAUAAUAGUGCCUUAAGUAUUAUAAAUUCUAAUAGCAUAUUUUGGGAAAUAAAGUUAAAACUAUUAAUUGCUGAGUUUACAGUAUAUAACCUCAGUGGAUGAUAAUGAGAGAUUAGAUUAUUGUGGAAUAUGAGAAUAUGUAUAAAAGUCAGAAAGAAAUAUUUUUAGCUGAUAUUCUUAAUAGUUAAGGGGUAGGUUUAUUAUUUUCCAUAAGUGGAUUAGUGGAGAUUUUUGCAAAAAUAUAAAAGUAAAGAUAUCACUACUACUGCAAUUAUUUUGCAUUUCUAUAAUGUCUUUUUAUUGAAACACUUAUAAAUCCUAUAAAACAAGUACUGGUACAUGUUCUCUAUAAAAUAAAUGAAUAUGGUUCGU
rnacentral:lncRNA from 1 species